AUCGUAACAAGGUUUCCGUAGGUGAACCUGCGGAAGGAUCAUUACCGAGUUGAUUCGAGCUCCGGCUCGACUCUCCCACCCUAUGUGUACCUACCUCUGUUGCUUUGGCGGGCCGCGGUCCUCCGCACCGGCGCCCUUCGGGGGGCUGGCCAGCGCCCGCCAGAGGACCAUAAAACUCCAGUCAGUGAACUUCGCAGUCUGAAAAACAAGUUAAUAAACUAAAACUUUCAACAACGGAUCUCUUGGUUCUGGCAUCGAUGAAGAACGCAGCGAAAUGCGAUAAGUAAUGUGAAUUGCAGAAUUCAGUGAAUCAUCGAAUCUUUGAACGCACAUUGCGCCCCUUGGUAUUCCGAGGGGCAUGCCUGUUCGAGCGUCAUUUCAACCCUCAAGCUCUGCUUGGUAUUGGGCCCCGUCCUCCACGGACGCGCCUUAAAGACCUCGGCGGUGGCGUCUUGCCUCAAGCGUAGUAGAAAACACCUCGCUUUGGAGCGCACGGCGUCGCCCGCCGGACGAACCUUUGAAUUAUUUCUCAAGGUUGACCUCGGA
rnacentral:rRNA from 1 species